rnacentral:lncRNA from 1 species
GGCCUUGUGCUUGCUAGGCAAGCGCUCUACCACUGAGCUAAAUCCCCAACCCCGACUUUAUUUAUUUUACUCUGAUGUGUAGGUGUUGGGAUUUAAGCUUGUGCCACCUGGUUUGGCAAUCAGUGCCUCAACUUGUUGAGCCACCUGGCUGACCCAAGACAUGACAUGCUACUCUGCCCUAUUACAUUGUCUCCUCUCAUAAGAGUUAGUCCAAUGAGCACACAUGGAGGGACCCAUGACUCUAGCAACAUAUGUAGCAGAGGAUGGCAUUGUCCAGCAUCAAUAGGAAGAAAAGCCCUUGGUCCUGUGAAGGCUCAUUUCCCCAAUGAAGGAGAAUGCCAGGGUGUUGAGGUUGGAGUGGUUGGGUAGAAGUGGGAGCAUCCUCACAGAAGCAGAGGGAGAGGGAAGGGGAUAUAGGAGAGGGGGAAAGGGGAGAACAUUGAAAAUGUAUAUACAUAUAAUAUCCAAGAAAAUAAAAUUAAAAAAAGAAAAAAA